AUUCCAGCUCUAAUAGCGUAUAUUAAGGUUGUUGCGGUUAAAAAGCUCGUAGUCGGAUGUCGGGCUCGGGGAGGCUGUCGGCCUUUGGUCGGACGGCAUGUCCGGGCCUUUCUGCCUGGGUAUCCUAUUCUACUUAACUGUAGGGUAGUGGGACGCAGGCCGUUUACUUUGAAAAAAUUAGAGUGUUCAAAGCAGGCCUACGCUUGAAUACAUUAGCAUGGAAUAAUGGAAUAGGACUUUGGUCUUAUUUGUUGGUUUAUGGGACCGAAGUAAUGAUUAACAGGGACAGUUGGGGCCGUUUAUAUUUCGUUGUCAGAGGUGAAAUUCUUGGAUUUACGAAAGAUAAACUUCAGCGAAAGCAAUCGGCAAGGAUGUUUUCAUCA
rnacentral:rRNA from 1 species